UAACCUGGAGGAAGGUGGGGAUGACGUCAAAUCAUCAUGCCCCUUAUGCUUAGGGCUACACACGUGCUACAAUGGGUAGUACAGAGGGUUGCCAAGCCGUAAGGUGGAGCUAAUCCCUUAAAGCUACUCUCAGUUCGGAUUGUAGGCUGAAACUCGCCUACAUGAAGCUGGAGUUACUAGUAAUCGCAGAGCAGAAUGCUGCGGUGAAUGCGUUCCCGGGUCUUGUACACACCGCCCGUCACACCACGGGCGUUGGAGACGCCCGAAGCCGAUUAUCUAACCUUUUGGAAGAAGUCGUCGACGGUGGAAUCAAUAACU
rnacentral:rRNA from 1 species